rnacentral:tRNA from 1 species
GGAGAGGUACCGAAGUGGCCAAACGGGGCGGUCUGUAAAAUCGCUGGCUUUGCCUUCGGUGGUUCGAAUCCACCCCUCUCCA